rnacentral:rRNA from 1 species
UACGUAGGGACCAAGCGUUGUUCGGAUUUACUGGGCGUAAAGGGCGCGUAGGCGGCUUGACAAGUCACUUGUGAAAUCUCCGGGCUUAACUCGGAACGGCCAAGUGAAACUGUCAUGCUAGAGUGCAGAAGGGGCAAUCGGAAUUCUUGGUGUAGCGGUGAAUGCGUAGAUAUCAAGAGGAACACCUGAGGUGAAGACGGGUUGCUGGGCUGACACUGACGCUGAGGCGCGAAAGCCAGGGGAGCAAACGGGG